CUUUGAGCCCAUUCCUGGACUUCUUCGGGGUUCUUGAAUGACAGGUUAAGAAUUUUUAUUAUAGAGUAACAUCUGAAAUAUUACCUUUUUGUGCUUAUAAGUAAACUUCACUGUUAAUUGUCUCUUCCUACCCUCAUGAACUCCUCUUUCUUGAUCUUCUUAGCAACAGAUCUAUUAUUUUUGUUUAUUAAAUUUUAAAGCAGUCAAUAAAUGCGUUCAGGCAUGAGAGAUUCUAAUGUCUAAGAAUCCUCAAAUAAUAAGCACAUGGAUCUGAGCACUUCUUUAAGUGUCACUAAGUUAAACUUGUUUCAGAUUUGUUUCAGAUUCAUCUUUCAAAAAUACCAUGAGUAUUUAUGUUUUGUGGAAUCUAAUCCAUGGUUAACAUCUGGUAGCAUGACUUUUGAGGUCAAAAAAAUCCUGGAUAUAAAUCUAAAUUCUCAUGUACAAGACAAACAAGCACAAUUACUAUUUAUUUUAACAUGACUUUUAGCUUUUGGAAUAAGAGAGGUUAAAAAAAAACUGUUAAAAGAGUUUAGUUUAUUUGGUUUAAAAUAGCUUUAUUGAGGUAUAAUUGACAUACAAUCAACUCAUGUAUUUAAGUGUACAAUUUAAUAUUUUCUCAUAUGUAUAUACCCAAUGAAACCACAACCACAAUCACAAUAAUAAGCAUAUUUAUUGCCUCUGAAAGUGUUACCAUGCCCUUUUGUAAUAUAUCCCUCUACCUCCACCUGCAUCAUCACCAGGCAAUUGCAGAUUUGAUUUCUAUCAUUAUAGAUUCGUUGAUAUUUUGUAGAAUUUUUAGUAAAUGAAAUGAUAAUGUGCGCAUUUUAUUUUUUUGUCACUCUGCAAAAUUAUUUUAGAAUUCACCCACGAUUUCAUUUAUAUAAAUUGUUCAUCUGUUUUUUAUUAUUGUGUGGUAAUCCAUUGUCUGGCUACAUCAGAACAUAUUUAUCCACUCACCCGUUGAUGUGUAAUAAAGCACAGGCUCAGCGGCUCGCAGCUUGAAAAGCUAAUGACAAGGAUGAAGUUCCAUGAAAGGAAAGUGACUUUGUUUUCCAAAGCUAGCAGUGAGGAGGAAGCUGGAUUACACCUCUAGAAACUGCUUCAAAAGGUUAGACUGAGGGCAGGUGUUUAAAAAAAGAAGGCUUGAUAGGAGAGGCAUGCAGGAGAUUUGCAGGAUUCAGGGGCCAUGUGUCUUGUUCCAACACCUAUCUUAAGUUAUGGUCACCCUGGAGCAACGGGCUGAUACCAUCUCGACAGCAUCUGGAUUGUAGAUUAUACAUCUUGGGGCAAUCUUUAAGAGGGGGAGAGUUCCACAGCUGGGCCUUUAUGCUUGGUUCAUUUUAAAUUGGCCUCUGGAACUUAACAAGCAUAUAGCGAGAUAAGUGUGCAUGGUGUGAGUUUAACAAGCAUACAAUUAGAUGAAUGUGCAUAAGACAAGAGAGCAUAAGGUAGAAAGGGAAGGGAGUAGAAUUUUGAAGUACAUUUCAAGGCUAUAUUAAAGACUAAGGAAAAGGCUUCUGCAGGUUCCUUCAAGUUUACAUCUUGAGAUUGGGGAAAAAGGAGAAAAAUGAGAAAGGAAAAAUUAAAAAAAAUUUUUUUUGAAGCUAAAUUACUUGGUUACAAUUGGACAUAUGGGCUGUUUCCUAUUUGGACUAUUACAAAUAAGCUACUAUGAACAUUCAUUUACAAGUCUGUUUGUGUACAUAUGGUUUCAUUGAUCAUGAAGUAAAUACCUCAGAGUACAAUGUCUGGAUAAUAUAAUAAGUGUAUGGUUAACUUAAAAAAAAAAAACCUGCCAAACUGCUUUCCAAAGUGCCAGUACCAUUUUACAUUUCCAAUAUCAAUGUGUGUCCUGGUUGCUCCACAAGUUUAUUAACAUUUGGUAUGAUCAGUCUUUUCCAUUUCAUAUAUUCUAAUAGGUGUUUCAUAGUAUAUCAACAUUGUUUUAAUUUGUACUUUCCUAAUGAGUGGUGAUGAAUAUUUUUUCAUGUGUUUGUUAUGUUUGUCAUCUGUUUAUCUUUUUGGUGAGUUUCUUUUCAAGGCUUUCUCUAGUUUUGAUAAUGUAUUUGUUUAUUUUCAUCUUACUGAGUUUUGAGAGUUCUUUAUAUAUUCUGAAUAUAAACCGAUUUUCACAUAUGUGAUUAACAAAUAUUUUCUCCCAGUCUGUGCUUAUAUUUUCAUUCUUUAAUUAACAUUGUUUUUGAAGAGCAACAUUUUUAAUUUUGGGAAAGUCAAGUUUGUCAAUUUUUACUUUAAUGAGUCAUGUUUUUGCUAAUAUAUUUAUAAAAUUUUUACUUCACCAAAGGUCACAAAGAUUUUCCUCUAUGAUUACUUCCAAAAUGUUUAUAGUUUUAGAUUUUACUUUCAGUCUGUGAUCCAUUUUAAGUUACCUUUUGUAUAUGAUGAAGGUCAUGGAACAAAAUUUAUUUUUCAUAUUUAUUCCAGCACACUUGUUGAAAAUGCUCUCCUUUAUCUAUUACAUUGCUUUCGAAAUUUUGUGGAAAAUCAAUUGAUUGUAUGGAUGUGGGUCUAUUUAUGUACUCUAUUGUAUUCCUUUAAUCUACUUCUCUGUCUGGAUGCAAAUAACAUACUAUUUUGAUUACUGUAAUUUUAUUAUAAAUCUUGAAAUCAGGUAGUAUUAGUGUCUUAGCUUUACUUUCUUAUCAGAGUUGUUUUGGCUAUUCUAGGCGCUCUGCAUUUCCAGAUAAAUGUUAGAAUCAGUUUAUAAAGUUUUACCAAAAAAUCCUGCUGGUAUUUUAACUUGAACUGUUUUGAAUCUAUACUUUGUUUUUAGAAAAGUUAACAUCCUCAUAAUAGUGAGCCUUCCAAUUUGCGAACACUGUGUUUCUUCCCAUUUUUCCAGGUCUUCUUUAAUUCCUCUCAACAGUAUUUUGUAGUUUUUAGUAUGUAGUUCUUCCACAUCUUUUGUUAGUUUUAUUCCUGUGUACUUUAUAGUUUUGAUUCUAUUUUCCAAAAAUAUUAUUUCUUUUUUAUUUUAGUUUUCAAUUGUUUGUUGUUAGUAUAUAUAAAUACAAUUUUUUUAUGUUGUUCUUAUGUCCUCCAAACCUGCUAAACUCACUCAUAAUUGUGGCAGCAUUUUUGUAGGUUCCAUUAGAUUUUCUACACAGACAAUUAUGUUAAUUGCAAAGAGAGCUUAACUUAUCUCUUUCCAAUCUGGAUGCCUUUUAUUUCCAUUUCAUGUAAUAUUGCAAAAUGGCUAGAAACUCUGCUACAAUUUGAAUAUAAGUGAUAAAGGCAGACAUCUUCACCUUCUCCUGGUCUUAGGGGAAAAUCACCCAGUAUUUCAACAUAAAAAUGUUAUUAGUUUUAGGCUUUUCAUAGAUGCCUGUGGUAGACUGAAUAAUGCUCCUCCACUUCCCCACAAGUGUCCAUGUCCUAAUUCUUGGCACCUAUGACUAUGUUACCCUACAUAACAAAAGGGAAUUUACAGAUGUGACUAACUUAAGGAUUUUGAGUUGGGAAGAUUAUAAUGCAUUAUCAAGUUAGGCGUAAUAUAAUCAGAGGCCUUUUUAAGUAGGAAGGAGUAGUGGUGUAGUUAGAGAAUGAAAUGUGAUGAUGGAAGAAGUACUAAGAGAUCAUAAGCCAAGGAGUGAGGGAACCCUCUAAAGCCUGGGAAAGGAUGGGCUGCUGUUGACCUCGCUGCUGACCUUGCUGCUGACCUCACUGCUGACCUUGCUGCUGACUUCACCGUUUCUCCCAAUAUAUGUCAGCUGAGUGGACUUUUGGCUGCCGGACAUGAAGAAAUCAUAUAAUCAAUUAAGCAAUCAAUCAACAAAUAUAUAGUGGACUUCUGCAAUUUGCAAGGCUCUGUGGCAAAUUGUACAAGGGGAAAAGUGUUUGUGGCCCACAGAAAUCAUGCUGCAGCCCUGGGUGAUAUGCUGAGACAUCUGGGGGAGGAAAUGACUAGGCAUAAGUAAAACAGGGAACUACUAAAAUCCUUAUGCAUGCAGGCUUUGACUAAGUUUGUGACCAUGACAGUGUAAAAUGAAAGCCAAAAGCACUGCAAAUAAAAAGCGUAGAAAAGUUAACUGCCUCUGUAUGUAUGGGCGUUUGGUGGAAUGUGAGAUUAUGAGUUACAUCUGGGGACACAAAAUGUAAAUUUGAUUCAAGAUAGUGGGCAACUAUAUGCAUUUACUUUCUUUGCAUUUCAAUGAGGCAGGCAGUUAGCAAAUGGGCAUGAUUAUUUGCAGGCGGCUAAAAGCAAUACAAGUGGGCCUAGACAGGUUAGCAUAAGGACCCAUCUCCCCAGUAGGAAGAAACUGUUACAACAGACUAUAACAAUGAAGAGAUUGCAGACAUCCUGCUUUAGGCACAGAUAAGAAUAUAACAGGCCGGGCGCGGUGGCUCACGCCUGCAAUCCCAGCACUUUGAGAGGCCGAGGCGGGCGGAUCACGAG
rnacentral:lncRNA from 10 species